GGGGGCGAACUGGAUUCGACAGCAGUUACAAACCCACGAGUGCAUGUCGAGAAGGUAGUAAUUCUCGUAAAUCAACUACUACAAACAUGUUAGUUGGCGAAAACGCAGACUACGCUUUAGCAGCUUAAAUUGCUAACUGUUUUAACUUGGUGUCCGUGCCAUUGUUAACACAGACGAUUUCACGGACUGCAGAUUUUGUAAUUCUCAUUUGCAAUUUCUUAAGUAAAUUUGAGAUAGCCUAAUAAGCCCUGUUCAUCGGGCCCUAUUUAGGCAAAGUUAAUAGAUGAAACUAAACAUGUAGAUCUUAUGGCAGAGUACUGAUGGACGCGGGUUCAAUUCCCGCCGCCUCCACCA
rnacentral:tmRNA from 1 species